UAGGAAAUAAUAUAAUGGAAGUAUGGAGGAUUUUGAUUUCUCUAGUGUAGGUUCAAUUCCUACUUUUCUAA
rnacentral:tRNA from 1 species